CACCGCUUUCAGGCUUCGGACCGACUCCUUGGAGUGAAACAAACGGUCGUCCUAGGUUAUUGGUGAUGAUGGAUUGGGAGCGAGGCAUUGUCCAAGUGAAGGAAAACAAAAUAGGAAAAUGUUGCCUUGCCAACCUGAAAUAAAAAGAGCUAAUCGUCUUGUGUGAGUUGUGUCAACUAAGACGUAUGGGAUCGUGGCAGAGCCUGGAGAGACGGACGUUCAAGACCACUGUUGAGAGCGUACUCUGCAUAGACUCUGUCUGAGGUGAUAACUGGACAGGACUCUAAACUUCCAGUGCAGACGGAUGGGAGAGACAGACACAGACAAUGAAGACAAUGUGGUUUGAGAAAUCAGACCAAAAACUGAACAUAGCCGAAACCGGUUUGGCUCAGUGGAUGGAGUGUCGGCCUCCGGACUGAAAGGUCCCAGGUUCGAUUCCGGUCAAGGGCAUGUACCUGGGUUGCGGGC